AGUGAACUCUAUCCCAGCUGAAACCAGGACAGCCUCGUGCACCUCCCAGUGUUCUUCUACCAUCUCCUCAAAAGCAUCCCUGAGUGUGCAUUUUACGGAAUCCUGCUUCUGACAACAAUGAAGUUCAUGCCGUGACCUUCCAAAGGUUUGAGCCCUUCAGGGAUGCCCCCGGCCUGCGGGCGUGAAGAGAUGGCAAGUGGGAGUUGGUAGGAUGCUGCAAUACACAAGGACACGGAGGCUUUCUUUGCUGAAAAGUUUUCUUUAUUACACAGGGCCACAGACCACCACUAGGCAAUAUUCUGUGAUUCAAGGCAAGCAUGGAGAGAGGUAUGAGGCUAAUUAAGAAAAACCAUCUCGGAAGAGACCGAACCCAGGAGUGGGCCAAGGAGUGGCCCCUAAGGUAUCAAGAAUAAAGUGUCACUUCAAAUACCUGAGACUCCCAUCAAGUCAGUGCUGCCAUCAGGGGCACCCCGAGACCCUUCUGAUGUCACCCUAUGGC